GGAUGAACGCUAGCGGCAGGCUUAACACAUGCAAGUCGAGGGGUAACAUUGUAGCUUGCUACAGAUGACGACCGGCGCACGGGUGCGUAACGCGUAUAGAACCUACCUUUUACAGAGGGAUAGCCUUUAGAAAUGAAGAUUAAUACCUUAUAGUAUUGAGACUUGGCAUCAAGUUUUAAUUAAAGAUUUAUCGGUAAAAGAUGGCUAUGCGUCCUAUUAGUUAGUUGGUAAGGUAACGGCUUACCAAGACAUCGAUAGGUAGGGGUCCUGAGAGGGAGAUCCCCCACACUGGUACUGAGACACGGACCAGACUCCUACGGGAGGCAGCAGUGAGGAAUAUUGGACAAUGGAGGCAACUCUGAUCCAGCCAUGCCGCGUGUAGGAAGAAUGCCCUAUGGGUUGUAAACUACUUUUAUACAGGAAGAAACACUGGUAUGUAUACCAGCUUGACGGUACUGUAAGAAUAAGGACCGGCUAACUCCGUGCCAGCAGCCGCGGUAAUACGGAGGGUCCGAGCGUUAUCCGGAAUCAUUGGGUUUAAAGGGUCCGCAGGCGGUCUAUUAAGUCAGAGGUGAAAUCCCAUAGCUCAACUAUGGAACUGCCUUUGAUACUGGUUGACUUGAGUCAUAUGGAAGUGGAUAGAAUGUGUAGUGUAGCGGUGAAAUGCAUAGAUAUUACACAGAAUACCGAUUGCGAAGGCAGUCCACUACGUAUGUACUGACGCUGAGGGACGAAAGCGUGGGGAGCGAACAGGAUUAGAUACCCUGGUAGUCCACGCCGUAAACGAUGGAUACUAGUUGUUGGGAUUUAUCUCAGUGACUAAGCGAAAGUGAUAAGUAUCCCACCUGGGGAGUACGGUCGCAAGACUGAAACUCAAAGGAAUUGACGGGGGCCCGCACAAGCGGUGGAGCAUGUGGUUUAAUUCGAUGAUACGCGAGGAACCUUACCAGGGCUUAAAUGUAGUAUGACCGGCUUAGAAAUAGGCCUUCUCUUCGGAGCAGAUUACAAGGUGCUGCAUGGUUGUCGUCAGCUCGUGCCGUGAGGUGUUAGGUUAAGUCCCGCAACGAGCGCAACCCCUAUUCUUAGUUGCCAGCGGUUCGGCCGGGGACUCUAAGAAGACUGCCAGCGCAAGCUGAGAGGAAGGUGGGGAUGACGUCAAAUCAUCACGGCCCUUACGUCCUGGGCUACACACGUGCUACAAUGGUAGAGACAGAGGGCAGCCACCUGGUGACAGGGAGCGAAUCCUUAAACUCUAUCUCAGUUCGGAUCGAAGUCUGCAACUCGACUUCGUGAAGCUGGAAUCGCUAGUAAUCGCGCAUCAGCCAUGGCGCGGUGAAUACGUUCCCGGGCCUUGUACACACCGC
rnacentral:rRNA from 1 species